rnacentral:lncRNA from 1 species
CGUGUGCGGUCCCUCCCCCUCACGUUCUCUCUUCCUCUGCUCCGCCAUGAUGAGAAGCGCCUGCUUCCCCUUCCCCUUCCGCCAUGAUUGUGUUUCCUGAGACCUCCCAGCCACGCUUCCUGUACAGCCUGCAGAACUGUGCCACGGGUCGGAGACAGCACGGAAGGAGAGACAAGCCUUACAGAGACAACGUCCAGCGCCGGACAGGACGUGGGAGGAAGGAGCGCAGACGCGGUGCUGGUGGGAGAAGGAGACGGUACUAGCACGGUGGAAAACCUGUGGAAGUUACCCAGCGACGUUGACAUACGUGCUCUACGAUUCCGCCCAAUCAUGGGGAGCACAGCCCACAGAAAGGCCUGCACACUCCCUGAAAGAUGCUCACAGGGAUGUCACGGCUCUGCUCUUCCUCACGACGGAAAAGGGAAACGGCCGCAAUACCCGUCUAUGGUAAAAAAGAUCGAUAACUUGGAAACGGAACCUGUGGCAUAUUCCUUGGAGUAUCUCCAGGUUGAGAAUUCAUGAUCCGCUUGGAAUGGGUUUAGAUCUCGGAAUGAGCUGUCAUCCCGGCCCAGCCAGGUAGCUCAGGAAGCCCAGCCAUUUAAAGAUGAUGCUAGACAGAACUCCAGAUAUUCUUGGAGCAGCAUCGGCAUCGGCACGAAAAGCCCCACGGCCCACAGAACUCCUUGGGAGGCAGCCACGCUUUUCUCCAAUCCUGUUUAGUGUCUGCAAGACCUUCCUCCAAGGAACCUGCUGCCAACUCGCCUGGCACAGACAUCCUGACAUGACACCACUGCUCAUUCCCCACUGGCACAGGACCGGCCAUCUCCUCCAAGCCUGAGCUGCCUGUACAGCAUCCCAAGCUCUGGGCGCACCUGGGGCAGCCGUGGCAGGAACGCCGUGGGAUCUGCUGAGUCCUACGAGGCUGCAGUGGGACCGAGUGGGAACCAUGGCCCAUGCAGAACUGCUUCUCCCUUGAAGAAGAAACACAGGCUAUUGGCUCAGCUGUAAAAGGCAAACACAGGCUAUUGGCUCAGCUGUAAAAGGAGAUCACGGCAUCCGCUUGGAUGGGGAGUUGGUGCCAGCUUUCCUGCUACAAGAAAAUUCAAUCCCAACUGCUACCCAGACCCGCUGUGUCUGCACCACAGCAGUGGGGACCGAGGGCAUGCCUGCCAUGCCAAUCCCGCAGAGGACUUUGCUGCAGCGAGACAGCCCCUUUCUCCCUCCAUGAUAGAGUUUAGAAGCCUCCUCCUCUUGCUGCCACCGUGGGUAUUUAGGUGAGCAGCUGUAGUUGCCGGGGAGGCCUGAGCACAACACUUAACGCUGCUCCUGCAGUUUCAUGGGCCAUUAACAAUUUGCUAAUAUUGUUUUAGCUUGCAAAUUAGUGCAGCUCCGUGGGUAAGGAAAGGCUCUGUGGCUGUCAUCAAUCAGAUGGAAAUUCUCCAUGCAUGAGAUGAAAAACGAUUUCUAGCCUUUGAGGCUCAGACGGCAAUUACUGUAACCAAAAAAAAUGGGUGGUGGGGAGCCGGGGGGAAGAGAGCUCCUUGCAAAGUCUGUUAGCAAUUCUAUGAACUUUAUUUCUUGAUGCACGAGAGUGAAACUAUGAGGAUUUCCAGCCAAGGGAACUUGAUUUUCUUAGUUACUAAUAAAGUGACAAUCUAAAGGAGCCCUCUCCAACUGACCUGCUCCCAGAAGGUGGGGAGAGAGGAUGUCCGUGUGGCAAGAAGGAUGACAAAGCUGUGAGGACCUGGUGACUGUCUUUGCUGAGCUCCCAACUGGUGACGCUCACCAGGAGGAUGCCACAGAUGGCUCUGCCAAAAGUGCAGACAAACCUUGGCCUUGUUUGUUGGAAACCAUGUUGCUUAUCCCCCAUCCCUCCCACCUUUAAGCACCAACAUUUUUUCCUUUUAAAUAUUGAUACGAGACUGGGCUGGGCAUGGUGGCUCAUGCCUGUAGUUCUAAUGCUUUGGAAAUCUGAGGCAGGAGAAUCACUUGAUCUCCAGUUCUAGACCAGCCUGGGCAGUAUAGUGAGAACCCCAUCUCUACAAAAACAUUUCAAAAAUUAGCUGGGUGUGGUAGUAUGCACUGUGGUCCCAGCUGCUUGGGAGGCUGAGGCAGGAGGAUCACUUGAGCCCAGGAGAUCAAGGCUGCUGUGAGCCAUGAACGCCCCUCUGCACUCCAGCCUGGGCAACAGAGUGAGACCCUGUCUCUUAAAAUAAAAGUGAGACUGUUAUGAA